rnacentral:tRNA from 1 species
GGGCCUGUAGCUCAACGGCAGAGCAGUCGGCUCAUAACCGAUCGGUUCUUGGUUCGAGUCCAAGCAGGCCCA